CAAAUGCUCGAACAAGGCUCAGACCCAUCACCGCCAAAAUCGCAGAGAAAACCGCGUUACAGUACAGGAAACUCGGGGACUCGGGUCUUCAAAUUAGCGAAAUUACUAUUGGAACUAUGACCUUUGGGCAACAGAAUACAGAGAAAGAAGCUCAUGAAAUUCUUAGCUAUUCAUUUGAUCACGGCAUUAAUAUUCUUGACACUUCAGAAGUUUAUCCAGUACCAGUGAGUAAGGAAACACAAGGAAGAACAGAUCUCUACAUCGGUAGCUGGUUGAAGUCUCAGCCCCGUGAUAAGGUUAUUUUGGCUACAAAAGUGAGUGGUUAUUCGGAGCGGUCAAGCUACAUCCGUGACAAUGCAAAGGUUUUGAGGGUUGAUGCUGCUAAUAUCAGAGAGAGCGUAGAGAAAAGCCUUCAGCGCCUUAGCACUGACUACAUUGAUUUGUUGCAGAUUCAUUGGUAACUUCAUGGUUUCUGUAUGGUUUAUCCUUACAUAGAAGAUUGCAUUUCUUUUCAUAAAAUUUGUUGUUUAUGAACCUCUUAAGAGAGAGAGAGAAAGAGAGAACUUUGCUAUUAUCUUAAGCCAUAUGUUCAAUCCCUGUAGAAUCUAGAAAUGGCUGAUCAUUCUCACUUGAAUUAUAACUGUGCUGUGAAAUAUUUUGAGUAUAUUAUUUCAUUUGUUGACUCUUGGCUUUAUGGAGUAUCUCACACCAUUAUCCAAAUCCUGGAACUUGGAUGGGUGGUUUGGUUCUCUUGACAAAACCCUGGCCCUGUUUUUCUAAUAUCUGGUCAUAUAUUAUUCAUUUUAAGGACUUCAAGUUCCUGUACAUUGCCUCUUAUUAAGGGCACAGAAUGCAAAAUCUGGUGCAGGCUUAUGCCUCAUAUUCCCAUUUCAAUAGCUUUCUCCGACUCUGAGCGGUAGCCAUGAUGCAUAAGUUAAGAAUACAAGAAGGAUACAUAUUCCAAGAGAUGCUGCUUUGCCAUGUCUUCUGAUGGUGCAUUUUGCUUUGGCUUGAUAAAACUCAAGCAGACGCCCAAUAAUUGCUUUAGCAAGAAAAUCUAAAAAUUGGUGCCUGCUGCAACUCAAGUACAAGGACUUUGUACUUGAGAACAAUCUGAAAGGAUCCUGUUAUGUAACAUCAUAUAAUUCUUGUAGCCUUGGGCAAGAGCUACCAGUACCAGAGCACCACAAAAUUGUUGAUGUGGCAUUUAAUUGCUGACUGCUGUAUUAGUUUUCUUCUUCUCCAUUCUUACUUGUGAAAAGUUUGAAAUGCAUGUUCUAACUGUUAGGAAAUCAAUUAUUAACAGUGUUGAGUUUAACGAUGUAACAUAAUUUUUUUCUUUUAUUACUUUAAAUUUAUUUUGUUUUAUCAUGUGCAAAUUUCCUAAACUUUCAAUUUAUUGUCGAAUGUGGGAACAGGCAGAUUGUGCUUUCUGUUAGUUUUAUUCGAAAGAGAAAUAAAAUUAUAAAAAGAGAAGUUCAUUAGAUAACAUAUGGAUUCAACUGGAAAUAUAGGCCAGAUCGCUAUGUACCUCUGUUUGGAGAGUUUUUCUAUGAUUAUUCAAAAUGGAGACCCAGUGUGCCAUUUUUGGAGCAACUAAGAGCCUUUCAAGAACUCAUCGAUGAAGGAAAGGUACGCUACAUUGGUGUUUCAAAUGAGACUUCAUAUGGAGUAAUGGAAUUUGUUCAUGCAGCCAAAAUUGAAGGGCUACCAAAGAUUGUUAGUAUCCAGAACAACUACAGUUUAUUAGUUAGGUGUCGUUUCGAAGCUGAUCUUGUUGAAGUUUGCCACCCAAAGAAUUGCAACAUUGGCUUACUUGCUUACUCUCCCUUGGCUGGUGGAGCUCUGAGUGGAAAAUAUUUGGAUCUGGACUCUGAAGCUGCCAGAAAAGGAAGACUAAAUCUCUUCCCUGGCUACAUGGCAAGAUACAAAGAUUCACAUUCCAGGGAAGCAACCGUGAAAUACAUUGAAAUGGCCAGGAAGCAUGGCUUAACUCCAGUACAGCUUGCGCUUGGAUUUACACGAGAUCGUCCAUUUAUGACGAGUUCUAUCAUUGGUGCAACCUCACUUGACCAACUAAAAGAAGACAUUGAUGCUUUCUUGACAACUGAGAGACCUUUGCCACCAGAAGUAAUUGCAGAUAUUGAAACCAUUUUCAAGAGAUACAAAGAUCCUGCCAUCCUUUGAGACCUAAUGAACUCGGGACAAUGGGAGAGCAGCCACUGCACAGUGAAUUGGAUAUUUUUUGUGUCUGCCACCAACAACAAAGAACAGCACAAACACCAAACAAGAACAUUCAUCAUUUAUUUGAUAUGAUAAUGAACAUACGUCCGUGGAUGGAGAAGGUGUAUGAGUGUAGAGAUUCACUAUGAAAAUCAGAUAAUAGUAGACUGCAAUUACAGGCAAUUUCAAUAACAUGCUUUUAAUCUUGUAAUUAAGGGGAUAUUUAGUUCAACUGUUAAAUAUAGCUUAUAGCAUCCAAAUAGCU
rnacentral:misc_RNA from 1 species